AGUGAACGCUGGCGGUAGGCCUAACACAUGCAAGUCGAACGGCAGCACAGUAAGAGCUUGCUCUUACGGGUGGCGAGUGGCGGACGGGUGAGGAAUACAUCGGAAUCUACUUUUUCGUGGGGGAUAACGUAGGGAAACUUACGCUAAUACCGCAUACGACCUACGGGUGAAAGCAGGGGAACUUCGGACCUUGCGCGAUUGAAUGAGCCGAUGUCGGAUUAGCUAGUUGGCGGGGUAAAGGCCCACCAAGGCGACGAUCCGUAGCCGGUCUGAGAGGAGGGUCAGCCACAUGGGAGCUGAGACAGCGACCAGAGUCCUACGGGAGGGAGCAGUGGGGAAUGGUGGACAAUGGGCGCAAGCCUGAUCCAGUCAUACCGCGUGUGUGAAGAAGGCCUUCGGGUCGUAAAGCCCGUUUGUUGGGAAAGAAAAGCAGCAGGUUAAUACGCAGCUGUUGUGACGGUACCCAAAGAAGAAGCACCGGCUAACUUCGUG
rnacentral:rRNA from 1 species